CUUCUACCCGAACCCCCCCUCCCCCCCCAAGCAGAGAGACCCCAGCAGCAGCAGCAGCUGAUGAUGAAGAGAGAGGCAGUGGCAGAGGGGGGGCACCUUUUAUUUCUAUUUUUAAAGGGACAGGACACUAAUUUUACCCCACUUCAACCUUGAAUUGAGGGGGGUGGGGGGAAGGCGGCUGAGUUCCUUCCCCCACCCUCCAGCCCGGAGCCCUGAGAGGGGGAUUGAGCCUGAGAGAGAAGGAGAAGGAGUUUCUUCCUCUUCGAAAACCUCCAUCCACGACUCCUACCCCCUCACCCCUCCACUCGCUUCCCUCCCGAGCCCCCUCCACCCUCCUUCUCUUUGGCCGUGAGAGGAGGAGAGAAAGAGACCAAAAGCCUCUUAGCAACACAGACCCUUUGCUGUUGCUGCUGCUGCUGCUGUGGCUGCUGCUGUUGCUACUGCUGCUACUGCUGCUUGGCCCUGGCUGGAGACAUCUCACUACACCCAGGAGCAGCCACUUCCCCAGCUCUCCUCCUCCUCCUUCGCCUCCUCCUCCUUCACUCCCCCCCUUUAUUACCCUUUGUGUCAUCCUCCACAGCUCCAGGGAAGGCACUCAAAAGUGGGGGGCAGGAAAGUUAAGAAAAGUGACGGUUGCCUUGGGAUCCAGAAAAAAAUACUGA
rnacentral:lncRNA from 1 species